GCCCCCAUAGUUUAGCCUGGACAGAAUGUGGGCUUGCGGAGCCCAUGGCCCCGGUUCAAAGCGGGGAGUUCUCC
rnacentral:tRNA from 1 species